rnacentral:rRNA from 1 species
GAUGAACGCUAGCGGGAGGCCUAACACAUGCAAGCCGAGCGGUAUUGUUUCUUCGGAAAUGAGAGAGCGGCGUACGGGUGCGGAACACGUGUGCAACCUGCCUUUAUCUGGGGGAUAGCCUUUCGAAAGGAAGAUUAAUACUCCAUAACAUAUUGAUUGGCAUCAAUUGAUAUUGAAAGCUCCGGCGGAUAGAGAUGGACACGCGCAAGAUUAGCUAGUUGGUGAGGUAACGGCUCACCAAGGCGAUGAUCUUUAGGGGGCCUGAGAGGGUGGUCCCCCACACUGGUACUGAGACACGGACCAGACUCCUACGGGAGGCAGCAGUGAGGAAUAUUGGUCAAUGGGUGCAAGCCUGAACCAGCCAUCCCGCGUGAAGGACGACUGCCCUAUGGGUUGUAAACUUCUUUUGUAUAGGGAUAAACCUACCCUCGUGAGGGUAGCUGAAGGCACUAUACGAAUAAGCACCGGCUAACUCCGUGCCAGCAGCCGCCGUAA